rnacentral:rRNA from 1 species
UACAGAGGGUGCGAGCGUUGUCCGGAAUCACUGGGCGUAAAGGGCGCGUAGGUGGCGACCCAAGUCGAUGGUGAAAGCUCGCCGCUCAACGGCGAGUCGGCCACUGAUACUGGGUUGCUGGAGCACUGUAGAGGCAGAUGGAAUUCCGGGUGUAGCGGUGGAAUGCGUAGAGAUCCGGAAGAACACCGGUGGCGAAGGCGGUUCUCUGGGCAUGACCUGACGCUGAGGAGCGAAAGUGUGGGGGAGCGAACAGG